GUGCCACGUUGGAAGCUGCUGCAGCGAGCUGAGCGGUAGCACGAGGGUGGGGGGCUGUUUGAGGUUAGCGAAUCCCGUGACCCGGCUGGUGGGGGUCAGGGAGAAUCGCAGGACAUAAAAAAGGGCCCAGCCUGAGGAUGAGUGCUUGCUCGUGGGAGCGGCUUCGCCAGUGCUCCCGGAUAGGCUGGGACGGCGGUGGGGGCUGAGCUGCACAGGGCUAGGCCUCCGGGAACUGGGGUCUCGGCUGCAGUGGGUCCGCCUGCCAAGUGCCCGGCCCGGCAGUGCCUCCUGCAGUGUAGACUUGAGGCCCCAGCAUCCUGAGAGCUGAGGACUUCUCUGCUUUUGUGAUGGAGAGCCUGAGCUUAUGAAGGACCCAUGGGAUUGGCAACUAGGUGGGAAGGCCGGAGAGAACCUGGCCUUUGCUGCCAUGCCACACUGACUGCACGUUUCAAAGUGCUUCACAAACUGUACUAGAGAAUGUAGUGUUAUC
rnacentral:lncRNA from 1 species